UUGGUCAGGUUGCCUGACGCAACGGCAUGUGACGCAAAACGAACACUCCUCAUUGGCUGGACAGAUGGAUAAGAGGACGUAGGUGCGUGUAGUAAAGUCACUACCCGGAACUUGGAUUUGGAAGCAAACGUCUCUGUUGGAAGUACUGAAGCCUGCUUCUGUUCAAGUACUCUACUUUCGAAAAGAUGAGUUCACAGACAAUGCUAUUGAGGUUGUGCCAUCUUCAUGGCUUGGACACACUUCUGAGCAUGGCAUGGUCUGCUACUGGACGACACACAAUGUGCGAUUGCAUGUUGUGAAGUGCCGAGCACCAAAUACAACUUGGGCCAAACAUCCCGUUAAGAAAACUUGGUAC